AUUGAACGCUGGCGGCAGGCCCAACACAUGCAAGUCGAGCGGGGUUUUCGGACCUAGCGGCGGACGGGUGAGUAAUGCGUAGGAAGCUACCCGAUAGAGGGGGAUACCAGUUGGAAACGACUGUUAAUACCGCAUAAUGUCUACGGACCAAAGUGUGGGACCUUCGGGCCACAUGCUAUCGGAUGCGCCUACGUGGGAUUAGCUAGUUGGUGAGGUAAUGGCUCACCAAGGCGACGAUCUCUAGCUGGUUUGAGAGGAUGAUCAGCCACACUGGAACUGAGACACGGUCCAGACUCCUACGGGAGGCAGCAGUGGGGAAUAUUGGACAAUGGGCGCAAGCCUGAUCCAGCCAUGCCGCGUGUGUGAAGAAGGCCUUCGGGUUGUAAAGCACUUUCAGCGAGGAGGAAGGGGUGUGUGUUAAUAGUACACACCUUUGACGUUACUCGCAGAAGAAGCACCGGCUAACUCUGUGCCAGCCGCCGCAGUAAGAC
rnacentral:rRNA from 1 species